rnacentral:rRNA from 1 species
CAGUAGCCGCGGUAAUACGAAGGGUGCAAGCGUUAAUCGGAAUUACUGGGCGUAAAGCGUGCGUAGGCGGUGAGUUAAGUCUGUUGUGAAAUCCCCGGGCUCAACCUGGGAAUGGCAAUGGAUACUGGCAAGCUAGAGUGUGUCAGAGGAUGGUGGAAUUCCCGGUGUAGCGGUGAAAUGCGUAGAGAUCGGGAGGAACAUCAGUGGCGAAGGCGGCCAUCUGGGACAACACUGACGCUGAGGCACGAAAGCGUGGGGAGCAAACGGGAUUAGAUACCCCCGUAGUCCCUGUCUCUUAUAC